CCGCAUCUGUGUAUAAUCGAAAAACAGUGGAGCUUCCUAAAAGGCGCUUCGGAGUCCCCAUCGAUCGGAUUGGAAGCAACCGUCUUACAAACACCCGAGGUUAGCAGGAUCCCUGGGUGCUGCUUUCUGGGAUGACAUGUGACAGAAACCCCAAUGGAGAAGACUUAUGUCUUGUCCUAAUGAAUAACCCUCCAUCAACCCAAGCCCUCCUCCUUCCUCGCAUCCAAUGAGACCCCUGUCACUCCCCUUGAAUGUUUCUCAUCUCAGUAUGUGGCACUUUUCCUUCGAAACAUUAAAGAAAAAUCUUCCAAGCUCUGCAA